AGACGGAGGGGGCUAGCGUUGUUCGGAAUUACUGGGCGUAAAGCGCACGUAGGCGGAUUUGUUAGUCAGGGGUGAAAUCCCGGGGCCCAACCUCGGAACUGCCUUUGAUACUGCAAGUCUGGAGUCCGGAAGAGGUGGGUGGAAUUCCUAGUGUAGAGGUGAAAUUCGUAGAUAUUAGGAAGAACACCGGUGGCGAAGGCGGCCCACUGGUCCGGUACUGACGCUGAGGUGCGAAAGCGUGGGGAGCAAACAGGAUUAGAAACCCCGGUAGUCC
rnacentral:rRNA from 1 species